CUUUGAGCACUCCCACGGUCCCACCUUUUCCCCUCUCCCGUGCCGGCUCGGGCUCUCCUCGCCUGCGUCUCUGCAGCUCGUGCUCCAUGGCCGCACUAGUGCGCCGCGCUGCCACCUCCCUCCCCCGCCACCUCGCGGCCACCUCCCUCUCCAGCGACCUCGCCGCCGCAGCCACCACUCGCUCCCCGUCCUCCGCCCUCCUUCGCCGCCACUACCACAGGCAGAUCCAGAUACCUAAAACAUGGUUCAGGGUUGAUGUCCAUCAGCACAGCUGUCGGGGCGGUGCACAUGGCGAAGGUGCACAUGGUGCGUGGUUUCGAAGCCGACGCCAAAGCCGAGGAAGACGCCAAGGCGAGGAUGGAUGGGUUCAAGGCCGAAUUCGAGAGCAUGGUGAAGCAUGCUGCCCACGAAUUGGCUGACGAGGCGCGCAGGACCAGUAGUGCCGAGGACCAGGAAAACAACGUCGUGCUGUAAUGGAUCUUUGUGGAUGUAGCUUGUAGGAACUUCCUAAGUUGCUUGCAAGGAAUUCAGACUGUAUCUGGUUAAUCUCCUCGUGUUUCGCAUGUUGGUGGAGGAUCAUUCCUUGUACUGUAUGAAAUUUUCAUGACUGGCUAUGGGUGUAUAACUCCAAUUACAGCUUUUUCUGGUUUGUAGGGGAUGAAAGAAGGCUUUGCUCUAGUCAUAGUUAUUUUUGUUGCAGCAUGCCACCAUAAUCAUCUUUCUUGCUUUUGGUUGUCUGUCCUUUUUAACUUAAAUUUGUUAGUGUCUAAAUUCCGUCACAGUAUAGAUAUGUGCCUAAUAAGAAAAUAAAAAAAUGUUUGAAAGUGAUAUAGUCGCAACAUGCUUUUCUGAAACUUUGCAGUUAUCUUAGACAUGUUACUUAGCAUUCAUUAUCAACGGUUCACUAUGUUGUCUAGCUACUAGUGACUACAAGCAAUCGUUGCAGUUGCAAAAGUUGAAUGAGGAGAAACGGAACAUUCAUUUGGAGGUUAAAAUUGUAGACUUGUCUUGCUAUAAAUUGUUUAUUCUUCCCCAAAUAUGGUCUCAGUUGUUCUCAUUCAGGCUUUAUGAGGUGGAAGGCGAAUCAAGGUAUCAAUUUAAGAUCUUGUUGCUGGAGAUGUAGUGCCCCUCAAGAUUGGUGACCAGAUGAAUCGACCAUGACGGGAGAAAGUAAACAAGGACCAGAAGUCACUGUUUCUGAUGUUGCAUGGCUGGCUAUGGUACAAGGCUGCUCGUUCUGUCUGUACCUACCAAUUGGAGAAAAUGCUCACCUUUUCGAUGUGCAAAAUGAUGAGGGAUAAAGAUUUGUUAUAGGUCAAUAUACUUUCCGCAUGUGAGACAAUGGGUCUGCAACAACAAUUUCCAGUGACAACACUGGAACAUUAACUUAAAAUUAGGGUGGCCGAGGUUCAUGUAAACUGGAAAGGAGCUGCUGAACUUAUUUUGGAGUCAUGCACGAGUUGGAUUGACACGGAUGGUUUAAAGCAACCCGAUGACUUGCUGGUGAGUUCAAGAAACUCAUUGAAGACAUGUGUGUUGCUAUUUGCUAAGCCUUUACCAUGUUGCCUUUAGACCUUGUGAGAUGAGUGAUGUCUGAAAUGAGGACCAGAGGGCUGACUGGGUAUUACCGGGAGAUAAUCUUAUUAUGCUUGGUAUAUUGUGGGGAUAAAGGAUCCUGCCGCCUAGGAGUUCAAGAGUCUAUUCACUUGUGUAUGGCAGCUGACAUUAAGGUCCGCAUGGUCCACUGGGGAUAAUCUUCAAACUGCCAGAGUGAUUUCCUUGGAAUCUUCUAUUUGUACUAAUCCUAACAUAUCAGAGCCAAUCAUGAUGGAAGUUAAGACAUUUCGGCAUUGUCAGAUUUGGAAAGGGAGGAUUGUCAGGAGUCCUAGUGAACUGAGAGUCGACCGAGACAAGGAAUCGGAAGGAUUUGGGUUAUUUGGCUAGGGUUCACGGCCGAAAGAGGAGGCCAUAUCUGUAUUUCUUGUAGCUAUAGAGUAUGUCUUGCCUUGAGGCGAAUGAAUCAUAGAGAAUAUGCUAAGGAAAUCACAGCACAUCCCGGCUUAAGUAGGAGAGGUAUUUUACCAAGUUACACGCGCGGUACUGUUAUAACGGUAAGUAGUAGUGGACGGACAGAGGCGAUGCGGUAAAUAUAGGAGCUAUCCUGGACGUCCAUCCAGCAUCUUCAGAACUGUAAAUGCUGCAUCUUCAGUUAUCCUGACAUUGCUCCCCUCUGAGAAUCAACGUGCCCUCAUGGUGUUGAAGUAGAUGAUGGGCGCCACGCUUCGGCAGUCGUGCUGAAGAAAGCUGGGAACAUGUAUUUGAUGAAACUGUGUCUUCCCAAGUGCCGUCUUCUGGAGAUAAAUUUGUCCACUGUAUAAGCCACUGCACCACUGGAAGGUUGUGUCUUAGUAUCUGUCGAACCUGAAGCACUAAAGCUGGUUCUGUUUUUAGUGUCCCAUCAGAAUUGACCAUAGGUAAAUGAGGGCUAGGGAUUGCUUUCUUUCCCAGGUGCUUCUUGAGUUGACUAACAUGGAAGACAGGAUGUAUGUUGAUUGUGUCAGGGAACAAAUUGUAAGCUCUGUUGCCCACUUUGGAUAACAAGAAAUGGGUCAUAAUACUUGUUUUGUA